CUUCCCAGAGGAAAGACUCAAGGCCAGGAGCUCCUGUCUCACUCAUCCAGGCUUGGGACAAAUGGAAAGCCCUGUGAAUCAGACUGAUGGGCAUUUGCUCCUAGGGAACAGCACAAGCCUGCUUCCCAACUCUUGUCAGCCUGCUUUAAAGCACUGGCUUUCCAGCAAGGCAUCACAGUCCUGCCUUCUUCCCCACCUAGGGAGCUCAGACUAAAUGCCAGCAGCAUCCUUCAUGCUCUUUGGUCUUAUCUACUGAUUGGCCAGUGUAGCAUCAUGGAGGCUUUACACAAAGGAGAAUGUUUAGGUUCUAAGUAUGAGAAGAUUCAAGGAUUGGGACAAAAAAGCAGACAUAUCUUGCAUACAAUGCGAAAGAGCCAAGAAAUGGGAAAAGAGGGAAGCAGGGAGAGAUGUGUUUAAUAAGAAAGAUAAGAAUGCAAAGAAGAGGCAAGGAGGGAACCUGGAAGGAAUCCUCUGAACCACAACGGGUAAUGUUGAUCAGACGAAGCUAGCCCAUCUUCAAGUGAGGGAACCUGGAGGAUGGAAAGAUGAGAAGUAACCAAGACAACCUAAAUGAAGGUACAGAAGAGUGGUCCACCCUGAUGAGUAUCCUGAGAGAUGUAAAUGGAGACUCAGAAGAGAUCUACAGACAUGGGACUAUAGUUUCUGAGGCCUCAGACAGAAGUGACAUUGUUCCAAGAUGUCCAGACCAGAGCAUCAACUCCAUGAUCCAGUAUGAGAUUUGUUUGUGGCUAAGAAAUGCACUGUUGUCUACAUCCAGGCUGCAAAAUGUCAAAAGGGGCUGUGCUACCUGUUUCUGAAUGAUAGGAGUGUGUAGAAGAGAAAGGAAGAAAGGAGCUAGGGUAGUCACACCUGUACAUCUUCAAGGCACAGUCAAUCAGCAACCACAAAGAUGCAGCAAAGAACAGGUUACACCUGUUACCUGCUGGCUUCUCCUGGAGAUUCCUUUUUUCCCUGCAGAAGGUGAAAUGGCAUAAGAAUUCAGGAGAGAGACAGUGGACAGAAGAGCUGCCUAGGAAACCCAGCCAGGAUUCAGACACUUGUGCUUUCGCAUCCCAAGUCAAGAGGUUGAGUGUCAACCCAGGGAAUGAGGGAAGAAAACACCAGAGCUCAGGUGAGCUUCGCAGCACACAGGUGGAUUCUUUACCACUGAGCCACGUGAAAAGCCGACUCAAUCUUCUGCUGCUGCUGCUGCUGCUGCAUCACUUCAAUUCAGGAGAGCGACCAUCAGCCAAGCUCUGCGUUAGUCCUCACAUUGCCUUGU